rnacentral:lncRNA from 1 species
GUAGUGAAAAGGCACCCACGGAGGAAUGAGUAAUCGGGCUCUCAGGAUGGAGAGGGGCAGCGCUACCAGAAGAGGAGGGCAGCCGCUCUGAAUCAAAAAAUGCACAGCUGGGUUCAGGGGGUGGUUAGCCCUUCUGCCAGCUCUGCUGUGCUCCUGUUUCAGUGCCCAGCGGACUGGCAAAGUGCUCCGUGAGCACCGUGCUCGCUGUGCUGCAGCAAGUCCCCCGAGGGCAGCAUCACUGGCGGCUGGGCCGUGAUGCCCGCGGUGUUGAGCUGAUCUCUGCUUGCUGCUGUUUGGCAUCAUCCUUGUGGAUGUCUGGGCAGCUGACUCGUGAGCAUUUUCUGGUAAUGGUUGUAGCCGUGGGAUCCAAUGCCAGGACACCGGACACUGGUUUGGCACUGGGCUUGUGUUGUCCCCACCCCUCCAGCCGUGGAAAAGCUGCUGGGAUCCUCAAGAGCUGUACGCUGUAGACUGUUUAUGGCUGUUGGUUUGCGGGUGAUGUUUUAGGGUUUUGUUUUGUGACUGCCUGAGCCAGAAGGUGCCGCAGCUCUCGCUCCGGAGCACCACUCCCCUCCCCGCCCGUGGCUGCGGGGUCCUCCUCCUGCCUGGCAUCUUGACACCUUGGGCUUUGAUUAAUGAGGUGCUCUUCCCUGCGCUAUACGAAUCCCCGUUAGAUUUGGUGCUUAUUAAUUACAGCACAGCGCCGUCAGCACAUUUAGAAUUGGGGUCCCUGCUUUUCUAAUUCUCUUCUUAUUUCACAUGGCUUUUUUUUUUCCCCCCGGUUUCCCACCGCCCGUGCCGCCCCCUCCUCGGGGUCUCUGAUGGAUGAGGCUGCAGCGGACACCGCGCUGCUGGAGCCGAAGGUCAGCACUGGCAGCAGCUCUGCAGGACGUGGCUGCCCAGCUGCUCGCCCUGCUGCACUGCCCGGUCCUGGGGUCUCUGCUGCUGUGUCCUACAUCCCUCCUUGAUCUCCUAGAAGGUCUCCAGCCUUUCAUCGCUCAGGCUCAGCGUGUCCUGCAGUGCCCGGCUCUUUGUUUUGCUCUCGGCUCCUGCGACGGUGGUGAAGAACUCUCCCCUUUCGGUCCUUCGCAGGGCUGGCCUUGCCUGGCUCCUGCGGCAGGGCAGUAAUUCCUGGGCGGUGGAAGUGCAGAAAUAACGUGCGGUACCUGGCAGGGAGCGCUGCCCCUCACCAGGCUCUCCACAAACGGCACAGGAAUCCCAGGGAGGGUAAACUGCAACCUUUGGAUGGAAAGACACACACAGACCUGACCGUCCCGGAGCUCUGUUUGUGUUAGGAGGUUGCCAGUACCCCUAAAAGGUAACUUUUGUGAAAACAAGUGCUCAGCACCAAGAGAAAUCAUUUUGUAUUAACUAACUGGGAGGAAAGGGGGUUAAUCUGGCUGUUUAAAUGAUUCCUGAAGCAGCACAGAAGUUUCCCAUUGUGGAUGACACCGUAUUUCUCAUGUUCCUGGAGAGUUUUGAUCUCAAACAGGUAACGGGCUCAGCAGUUCGGGCUCUCCUUCACUCCGUGCAUGGGCACAGAACCUCUGCCAGCAUCACCGGAGCUGCCAGAGCCCCAGCCCGGGGUGUCCGAGUGGCCUCAUCCCUGUGGGGCUGGGGAGAUGCAAAUGAAAAGGACGACACAGGCAGGAUUCAGAGGUCAGCUCGUGCCCCUGAGACCCGAUCCUGAGCACCUCAGAGCCCUCGUAGCUCCCACGGGCUCAGGAUCAGGCAUCCCCCAGCAGAGCUCACCCCAGGUGUGCCUCCUGGUCCCAUGAAACCCAGAGCAUCUUUGGGACUGAAACGGGAACACCGCUGCCCUCCCCAACACCCCCAGCGCGGGCAGGGGGCCGGGACCCCCAGGCUCUGCUCCGUGUCCCCUGCCUGGAGCUCUCGGGAGGCCGCGAGCCACGCGGGCACCGCUCGGUGCCCGUCAGCCCCCGGCCCCGCAGGCGGAGCAGCGCUCGGUGCUGCCGCCAGACAAAGGCUGUUGCUGGAUACGUGGCAUCUGUUAGCAGCCUACUGCUGUCAUUAGCCGCAACCAGGCAUCUGCUGC